ensembl:lncRNA
GGACAACAGUAAUGAUAAUCUAAUGCAAUUGGACUAAAGAAGAAGUUUCCCUGAGGUGUAUCUUUCACGCACACACACGCUGCAUAGGGCAGAAGCGGCUGAAGACUCUGUCUCCAUCCCUCCACCUUGCGAUCUAUACCACCAUAUAGGUGGGGAUUGAUCGUAUCCCAGGUACGGCAUCCUGCAGCGAGCCAGUAUGGAAGGCUGGUUAGCCAACGACGGUUUGUAAUUCCAGCAAGAGAAACACAAAGUUCCAGGGCCAGAGGAGGAGCCAGAUGCAGACACGCCCGGAGCCGACCAACUACCCAGGGAUGAUGCAAUCAGAUUUCGGCAGGGAUUGAUGGAGAGCCCAGUGAGCGAUGGGCACUACAGGUGCAGCGGGUGCCGUCCAGGCUUACCUGGGGAUCGAGUAUACACCGGGGAGUUUGGACGAGGGACCACCAGAGGGGCCCGACCUGAUCUGGCUGGAGAACAUGGAACAGACCCCUGCCCCACUGUCCAAGGGCCCCCCACGCAAUGCAGCGCACCAAUACAUGAAGAUCAUCCGGCCCCGGCGUCCUGUUUCCACCACCGUAUGCUGAAACCCCACCACCACACCCCCUCCCCC